UUCGACCGGAAAUCACACUCGGACUCGUCCCGGACUUUCCACGUGACGCCCGCGCGUGCUGUCUCUGUCUCACAAAUAACGUACGACGUGACGAAUUUGCGUUCGGGAGGGAUACAUAUUUCGUGAUGUUAGUCUCUAUAUCACAACGAAUUCGCCUGUUAUACAACGUACAGAACGAUGUUUGUGUAACGUUUGUUUUCCCGAUAUUUUAGUUUUAAAACAAGAUAUUAUAAGCGUAACAAAGUGCCAACGUUGCACAGAUAAUGUUUUUUACAUUUAAGUUUGAUAACAUGGCAAUUCGCUCCAAUAUCAAAACUAACAGCGCUAUCUUGUCCCUACUGAACGAAAAUGUGAGACAAUACGUUUGUAAGACGGAGCUGAGGCGACACGCGGGUACAGCGUCCUCU